rnacentral:rRNA from 1 species
ACGGGUGAGUAAUGCCUAGGAAUCUGCCUGGUAGUGGGGGAUAACGUUCGGAAACGGACGCUAAUACCGCAUACGUCCUACGGGAGAAAGCAGGGGACCUUAUGGCCUUGCGCUAUCAGAUGAGCCUAGGUCGGAUUAGCUAGUUGGUGAGGUAAUGGCUCACCAAGGCGACGAUCCGUAACUGGUCUGAGAGGAUGAUCAGUCACACUGGAACUGAGACACGGUCCAGACUCCUACGGGAGGCAGCAGUGGGGAAUAUUGGACAAUGGGCGAAAGCCUGAUCCAGCCAUGCCGCGUGUGUGAAGAAGGUCUUCGGAUUGUAAAGCACUUUAAGUUGGGAGGAAGGGCAGUUACCUAAUACGUGAUUGUUUUGACGUUACCGACAGAAUAAGCACCGGCUAACUCUGUGCCAGCAGCCGCGGUAAUACAGAGGGUGCAAGCGUUAAUCGGAAUUACUGGGCGUAAAGCGCGCGUAGGUGGUUUGUUAAGUUGGAUGUGAAAUCCCCGGGCUCAACCUGGGAACUGCAUUCAAAACUGACUGACUAGAGUAUGGUAGAGGGUGGUGGAAUUUCCUGUGUAGCGGU